GCAAUAUCCUUCUUUUAAAUGGAUUUCUUAUUGUUCCAAAGAUGCGGCAUUUCCAAAAGAAAAUUCUUCCAUUUAUGCAUAGAACCUUGAACUCUAGUCUUUAAUUUUAAAACUCUGAUCUUUCAGAGAUGCACAAAUCCAUUCCCUCUUGCUGUGGAGGAGAAAAUACAUGAAAAUCUGAAUCCACAUGCAUUUGAGUGACAUUAUUUCAUACAAAAUUCUCAUCUCUGGAGGCAAUGUUUCCUGGCAGAGCAAUUAGUAUUUUCUGGCUUACUAGGUGCUAUUCGAUUGCAAUAGCAUUUGAAUAUUACCCAGCUAGUUGUGGAGUGGGGCAGUAAGCUCAUAAAGAAGCAAGAUAAUGGAAUACACAAAUAUUACUACGACUUUAUGGGUGGCACACCUUGAUUCUUGAUCCAUGUGGCUGUGUUCAGAUCUGGUUAGCACACAUUGACAUCAGGGGCUGAGCCACCAGUGAGAGUCAAACCCAGCAGCCCUGUCAGUCUACCUUCUCUCUUGACUCGAUCCAGCCUCAUAACUUCACUUUCCGCAGGAGAAACACACCUCUUGAGGUCCUCUGUCACAAAUAGGCAGUGUUUCUGGAGAAAGCCAGGAGGCAGAUUUUAGUGCUGUUCAGCAUCUGUGGUCUCUACUUUCUGGAUCUGGUGCAUUAUGGAGACCAUGAAAUGACAUGAAAUAGCUCAGUGCUGCCAGUGGCGGUGACAGGGACACUAGAGGUGAAGGAGGGCCCUUGGGGCAAUUCCAGCAGGUGGGUGGUGGCUAAAGGUCCUAGUCUUCUUUCUGCAGAGACUGGCCACCUGCUUCAUUCUUUCAAGAAGCACCAAAUCCCUACUUCAGUACUUUGCCCACUCGUCAUGUCAGGAGCAUGAAACUCACGAGGCCUUCAUUUACUUUUAUCCUGUAACACCUUCAGUUUUUCCCACAUCCUCCCUUGAUUCGUGGAUGGACAACUAUGGAGGCCAAUCUGGCUGAGGUGAGGACUGCUUGAGUCUAAAUUCCUCUCUCCUCAUUCAAGUCCAGAGAGAUCUUAUCUUUCCCUACAAGUCUGUGACCUUGAUUCUGAACCUGCAUCUAUGGGAAGGGCUUGCAGUG
rnacentral:lncRNA from 1 species